rnacentral:rRNA from 1 species
AUGAACGCUAGCUACAGGCUUAACACAUGCAAGUCGAGGGGCAGCAUGGUCUUAGCUUGCUAAGGCCGAUGGCGACCGGCGCACGGGUGAGUAACACGUAUCCAACCUGCCGUCUACUCUUGGACAGCCUUCUGAAAGGAAGAUUAAUACAAGAUGGCAUCAUGAGUCCGCAUGUUCACAUGAUUAAAGGUAUUCCGGUAGACGAUGGGGAUGCGUUCCAUUAGAUAGUAGGCGGGGUAACGGCCCACCUAGUCUUCGAUGGAUAGGGGUUCUGAGAGGAAGGUCCCCCACAUUGGAACUGAGACACGGUCCAAACUCCUACGGGAGGCAGCAGUGAGGAAUAUUGGUCAAUGGGCGAGAGCCUGAACCAGCCAAGUAGCGUGAAGGAUGACUGCCCUAUGGGUUGUAAACUUCUUUUAUAAAGGAAUAAAGUCGGGUAUGUAUACCCGUUUGCAUGUACUUUAUGAAUAAGGAUCGGCUAACUCCGUGCCAGCAGCCGCGGUAAUACGGAGGAUCCGAGCGUUAUCCGGAUUUAUUGGGUUUAAAGGGAGCGUAGAUGGAUGUUUAAGUCAGUUGUGAAAGUUUGCGGCUCAACCGUAAAAUUGCAGUUGAUACUGGAUAUCUUGAGUGCAGUUGAGGCAGGCGGAAUUCGUGGUGUAGCGGUGAAAUGCUUAGAUAUCACGAAGAACUCCGAUUGCGAAGGCAGCCUGCUAAGCUGCAACUGACAUUGAGGCUCGAAAGUGUGGGUAUCAAACAGGAUUAGAUACCCUGGUAGUCCACACGGUAAACGAUGAAUACUCGCUGUUUGCGAUAUACUGCAAGCGGCCAAGCGAAAGCGUUAAGUAUUCCACCUGGGGAGUACGUUCGCAAGAAUGAAACUCAAAGGAAUUGACGGGGGCCCGCACAAGCGGUGGAGCAUGUGGUUUAAUUCGAAGCAACGCGAAGAACCUUACCUGCUCUUGACAUCCCACUGACAGGUCAGUAAUGUGACCCUUUCUUCGGAACAGUGGAGACAGGUGGCGCAUGGUUGUCGUCAGCUCGUGCCGUGAGGUGUCGGCUUAAGUGCCAUAACGAGCGCAACCCUUGUUGUCAGUUUCUAACAGGUUCCGCUGAGGACUCUGACAAGACUGCCAUCGUAAGAUGUGAGGAAGGUGGGGAUGACGUCAAAUCAGCACGGCCCUUACGUCCGGGGCUACACACGUGUUACAAUGGGGGGUACAGAGGGCCGCUACCACGCGAGUGGAUGCCAAUCCCAAAAACCUCUCUCAGUUCGGACUGGAGUCUGCAACCCGACUCCACGAAGCUGGAUUCGCUAGUAAUCGCGCAUCAGCCACGGCGCGGUGAAUACGUUCCCGGGCCUUGUACACACCGCCCGUCAAGCCAUGGGAGCCGGGGGUACCUGAAGUGCGUAACCGCGAGGAGCGCCCUAGGGUAAAACUGGUGACUGGGGCU